rnacentral:rRNA from 1 species
GACAGAGGGGGCAAGCGUUGUCCGGACUGACUGGGCGUAAAGCGCGCGCAGGCGGUCUCGGGCGUCGGUGCUGAAAGUCCACCGUUCAUACGGUGGGAAGCGUGCCGAUACGCCGAGACUGGAGGGUGGGCGAGGGUGGUGGAAUUGCCGGUGUAGUGGUGAAAUGCGUAGAGAUCGGCAGGAACACCCGUGGCGUAAGCGGCCACCUAGCCCGCACCUGACGCUGAGGCGCGACAGCGUGGGGAGCGAACGGG